rnacentral:rRNA from 1 species
AGGGAUCAUUAUCGAGUUACCAACUCCAAACCUUUGUGAACCUUACCACAGUUGCUUCGGCGGCCCCGCCCCGGGCGCCUCGGGAUCCCCCCCCUAGGGGGCCCCGCGGGCGACCCGGACCCAGGCGACCGCCGGGGGACCCAAACUCUUGUCUUUUAGUGUAUUAUCUGAGUGGCAUAAGCAAAUAAAUUAAAACUUUCAGCAACGGAUCUCUUGGUUCUGGCAUCGAUGAAGAACGCAGCGAAAUGCGAUAAGUAAUGUGAAUUGCAGAAUUCAGUGAAUCAUCGAAUCUUUGAACGCACAUUGCGCCCGCCAGUACUCUGGCGGGCAUGCCUGUCCGAGCGUCAUUUCAACCCUCAGCACCCCCGUUCGCGGCGGGAGCUGGCGUUGGGGAUCGGCCGUCCUCUGCGGCGGCCGGCCCCGAAACGAAGUGGCGGUCACGUCGCGACCUCCUCUGCGUAGUAGCAAUAUCUCGCAGCCUGGAUAGCGGCGCGGCCACGCCGUAAAACCCCAACUAUACCAAGGUUGACCUCGGAUCAGGUAGGAAUACCCGCUGAACUUAA